GUAUCCUAUGAUUGGGGAGAGGGCUAGCUCAGUGGUUUGAGCAUUGGCCUGCUAAACUCAGGGUUGUAAAUUCAAUCCAUGAGGGGGCCACUUGGGGAUCAGGGGCAAAAAUUGCAGAUGGGCCCUGCUUUGAGCAGGGGGUUGGACUAGAUGACCUUCUGUGAUUCUAAAGAUCCCCUCAAACCCUCAUAUUCU